rnacentral:lncRNA from 1 species
UCGCCACUUCGCUGUCUCCUUAUGCAGAAAUCGAACUCGUUUUGGUACCUACAAUCCAUCUACUGACCGAAAUGCUACAGACAGGAUCUGGGCCCUCAGGUCAUCUUGCUUUUGCAUUUGCCAGCCUGACCCUCAGUUCAUGUUGCCUUUGCAUUCGCCUGGCCCUCAGGUCAUCUUGCUUUGGAUCUGCCUGUGGACAUGCACGAGAAACUCCUCGUAGGAGAAGACGCCAGGUGCCUUGUCCUCUAUUAGAAAUGACCGGAAAAAAU